rnacentral:lncRNA from 1 species
CCAAAUAUAUGCUGAGAUUUUGAAGUGAAAAUACUCUCCCAAAGUUUAUUCAAGCACCCACCAUAUUUACUUCAUCUUUAAAACCUUCGAUUCUUCAUAUACUUCGUUAUAUACACAAGGUUUUAAACCCCGAGGCUUCGUACCACCCAACCUAGCCAAAUCUCGCUUAGCUCAUUUUCAUACCACUCUUUUUGUCCUCCCGAAGGGCUCUCCAAAGUUCGUGUGCAAAGCCAAAAUCCGGUCGAACCUCCGACGAAUUUUUCCGGCGAACUUUUUGUAAGUGGUUAUUUUAGCUUCGUUUUACUCGUGUCUUAACCGACCAUUUUUGACAAAGGGCUUUUGAACAAAAAUAUUCUCUUCAUCUUUAAAGCUCUCUUUGUUUACAAAACACACGAGUUAGCCACUCGUUAUAUAUUUGUGCGUGUGUUUUGUCCCGGAACCUAACUCGUAUCCUUUGAGAUUUCCUCACCAAACUUUGGAGGGAUCUUUGCCUUGGCACGGAAAGCCGGAUAUAAGGCCAAAGGUAAUAAGUUAGUUAUUGUUGUGCGUGUUAUCUGUGCUUAACUGAUUAUAUCCCUACGCCCAACAUGCCCUUUCUCGUUUGGUGAACGUUUCCAUAUGUGCCGUGCUUCGUGGAAAUACUAACCUUACGAGUUACGUGGUUCCCGAUCCCGUGUGUGUGAGUGUGAUUAUCGACUGCGUCUUAUAUCUAUAAAUCAUUCCACACUAAUUAAUAUAACUCUCGUAGCGUGCCCUUACGUGGCUUGCUCAGGUUAUUAAAAUCAAUCCGAUUUAAAAUCAACUAUUUAUAUUUUCCGCGCGAUAUAAAUUGUUGGACUAAUCACCGUUAGAUUUGUUAUAAUUGACGAACCUUAUACCUGACCGUGAUUAUUGGACUGACUUAGCGGACUAAAAAUCUUAUUAAAACAAGGAUAUAUUUUUGUAGAUAUUGUGUUCUAACUUUUGCAGUGAGGUGAAGUGAAGUGAGGUGAUCUUCGUUCUAAGACCCAAGUCCUUGACGUAUUGACGGGGAGUUAAUAGUCAUUGCACCGUGAAGAAGAGGAAAGACCCAAGAUCUAAUACCUAAGAUCCGAGACUGGCAAAAGGUGUAGAAGUACAAAGACUACACAAGGUUCUACAUCGACUUUGAGGAAGUAACGGGGAGUUACGUUCCGAGACAAGCUUUGUAGGUGUUUUUACAUUUAUAGUGAGGAGGUAACGGGAAGUUGCGCUCCAAGAUAUAUAUUUGUAAAGGCUUCUCCGCCUACUUUAAAGGAGUAUCUUUUUAGUAGAGAAAAUCUCGAGUCCGGGGAGGAGCUCGGGGACUGGACUAGGGGUGAGUGGACUCCAUCGGUUGAGUUAGCCACCGCGAACCAGGAUAAAAUCCCUCGUGUGGUAUUUUUCUUUCCUUGAUUUUUGCUUCCGCAUUUACAACUGCCAUUACUCUAGAUACAAGCUUUUAAAAAGGGGAUAAACUUUUUAAAACGCCAUAAAGUUUUUUAAACUGGUGAUUAAGCUAUUCAACCCCCCCUUCUAGCUUAAUUAUCCCUAUAUACGGAACUAACAAAGGCCUAAGAACUAAUAUGCAACUUCCAAUAUAUCAAUUCUCUACACACGAGCCCUUGAAACGUAUAAUCGGUCACCAAGAACCUCAUGCAGCUAGCAAGGAUCAUAAAUCAAAGUAGCUCAAGUAGAGAUUUGACCGAAAACAACAAAGAAACUCAUGAUUCAGUUUUACCCAAAACUAAUUAAUACUUGUAAUCACUAACUCUAUACUAAAAACUGACAGGCAACAACAAUCAAUCAUAAAUCAAGCCUUAAAAUCAACCCAACAAUCAAAAUAUCACAAAACCCCGGCCAUGGCUCACUGCAGUUCAUCGCCAUGGCCAGCCUUCACUUGGGGAGAUUCGUUUUCACGAGCACUGGACCCAGGUGAGGCUCGCAACCUCCUUUCUCAUACAAUCGUACAACAAAGACACCUCUUGGGCCGAAACCCUAAUCACAGCCAACACAUACAUGCAUAUAUCAAAGGGUUUACAUACAAUUAAGGAAAGGGAGUAAUCAGGUAGAAUAUUACAGCUACUAAACACUGAAAACCGCAAGGAAAAUUGGUGGAAGCAAUGGACACUGGACCCAGGUGAGGCUCGCAACCUCCUUUCUCAUACAAUC